GUGGGGUAACGGCCCACCAAGGCGACGACGGGUAGCCGGCCUGAGAGGGCGACCGGCCACACUGGGACUGAGACACGGCCCAGACUCCUACGGGAGGCAGCAGUGGGGAAUAUUGCACAAUGGGCGAAAGCCUGAUGCAGCGACGCCGCGUGAGGGACGACGGCCUUCGGGUUGUAAACCUCUUUCAGCAGGGACGAAGCGAAAGUGACGGUACCUGCAGAAGAAGCACCGGCCAACUACGUGCCAGCAGCCGCGGUAAUACGUAGGGUGCAAGCGUUGUCCGGAAUUAUUGGGCGUAAAGAGCUCGUAGGCGGUCUGUCACGUCGGCUGUGAAAACCUGGGGCUCAACCCCGGGCCUGCAGCCGAUACGGGCAGACUAGAGUUCGGCAGGGGAGACUGGAAUUCCUGGUGUAGCGGUGAAAUGCGCAGAUAUCAGGAGGAACACCGGUGGCGAAGGCGGGUCUCUGGGCCGAUACUGACGCUGAGGAGCGAAAGCGUGGGGAGCGAACAGGAUUAGAUACCCUGGUAGUCCACGCCGUAAACGUUGGGCGCUAGGUGUGGGACCCAUUCCAGAGGUCCGUGCCGCAGCUA
rnacentral:rRNA from 1 species